AUGGGCCCCGGGAAGGGCAGAAGCUCUAAGUUUGCCCAACUGGGCAGAGGGAUCCUCCUCGGAUCGUCCUCGAUGUGACUGAAGUAAAUUGUUCCAAUUUUACCAUAGUUGAAGCCCAAAUGCUGACAGAAGAAGAAGAAAGAAGGGGACAUGAAAAUGGGGAUGAAGAGAGAGAGAAGCAGACGGAAGGGAAGAUGGAUACAAGGUGGCAUCAAGAGCAAAAUAAUUCAGAAAAUGUCAAGCAUAAAAUCAUGGUUUCUAGAAGCAGAGAAACAAUACUUUUAAAUAUGUUAAAACACCUAAUGUAAACAAUAAAGAAAAAAUGGAAAAGCAGCACAGACUACAAGGGAGGAUGAUUUCUACAUUGAAAGCUGAAUAAUCUAAGGGAAAACAAUUUUUU